CUUCACUGGAAAGUGCAGUUACAGCUCAGAAAAACUCCUUCAGUCUGCACAGGUUUUCCUUAAACUUUGUGUUCUUGUUCUGUUUCUCUAUGCUGUACAUUUUUGAAUCUGUUUGAGAUUGUGCAAAGCUGAUGCAUUGGAACAUAUGAUCACAGCGGCAAGUUACAUGGCAGGGUUAACACUGCUUCCGGGUUUAAUGCUACCCAGGCACUUAAUCAUGUAGGUGCCUCUCAGUACAGUUUGUUAUUUCCUGUGGAUACUGACAGCAACAAAGCAGGGUCUCAUCGUAAAGAAGAAAUACAGGUUCCCACUCCAAUCUUACCUAGAAUAGGAAUUUCCAUCUUGUACAAAUCAGCUGCAAUACUGACAGUGAGAAGUGAGAUAUAUAAAGCUGGUAACGUGUGUUUAUAUCAGAUGAUAGCUCGCAAGAGUUUAAAAGGAUUGUCUACCUGUUUGUAGGAAUCUUUAUCCUAGAAUAUGGUGGAAGCUGUACUGAUAGAUCUGUUCAGCCUACCAGCCAACUUGCAGAACAACGUCCAAGGAUUACUACGUAACAUGCUAGAAACGAUUGAGAAAUGCUCUUCCAUCCCUGCUCCUUUUGUAUAUAUCAUGUGUCGCCAGAGGCAGGGGAAUGAAAGGGACAGUGAACAAGAGUCCAUGCUCCCAGCUCUGAGGGGUUUUCAGAGUCUGAAGAAAAGGCUGGAGGUUGUACGUGCUCUGACUACAGCUGCUGCUUUGUACACCAUCAAACAAAGACUGGAUGAAAAAGACCUAAGCAUCAUUAAAGUUAUUCUCCCUACCUUAAGAAAAGCCUUAAUGAAAGUAUAUACAGACCAUCUCUUUACAUCAGUCUACCAGUUUGAAUUUGAGGAUUUACAGGUGGCAUCUGACUGUGAAAACCUACAGAUAGCUGAACCUCAGAAUGCAGAGCAAACACUUCCUACACAGGACGUGGCGCUCAUCCAAAGCGAGAUUCAGACGUACUUGGAAAGCCUGCCAAGCCUGAAAGGGGAGCUCACCAUCCUCAGAUCUUCCCUCAUCCCAGAUGAUAUCUUCCUACAUGGCUUCACCACAAGGACAGGUGGCAUCUCCUACAUACCAAAUCUAAGCUCCUGCAAUCUCUUCAGCAGUUCCAAGCGGAGGGACCCACAAGCUGUUGUUAAAGAAAAUCUCCGCAGGCUAGCUAAGGCUGCAGGAUUUAACCCAGAGACUUUUCACAGAGUCAAGAUUGAUCAUGCUAAUGCUGUGUGUAUUAUGGGAAAGACAGAGCCUGACAGCUAUGAUGGAAUAGUUACGAAUCAGAAAGGUGUUACGAUAGCAGCUCCAGGGGCUGAUUGCAUACCUGUGCUGUUUGCUGAUCCUGUCAGAAAAGCCUGCGGUGCUGCUCAUUCUGGAUGGAAAGGCACAUUGUUAGGAGUUUCUAUGGCCACAGUAAAUGCUAUGGUAUCUGAAUAUGGCUGUAACAUAAAAGAUAUCCUUGUGGUGCUGGGCCCAUCUGUAGGUCCUUGCUGCUACAAACUUCCUCACGAAUCAGCUGAAGAAUUUCACAGAAUUGAUCCAAAGUGUGUGAGACUAUUUGACUCUGCAACUCCUUAUAUUGAUAUUAGGAGAGCAACACGGAUUCUUCUUGAGAGCGGUGGGAUUCUUCCUGAGAACAUCCAAGAUGAUUCUGUCACAGACCAGAACCAAAAUAUCACUUUCUGUACUGCAUGCCACCCUGAUAAAUUUUACUCUCACUUUCGUGAUGGCACUAACUUCGGGACACAGAUUGGCUUCAUAUCAAUCAAAGACUGAGAUAGUGUCUUUUAGUCUUGAAUAGUAUUCAGACAAUAAGUCUGGUGUAUUUCCUGGCAUCCUGCUCUCCUCAUAGUUCUUCCUCCUUCCUUUCACAGACUUGCAAUAGGGAAUUCACAGGUCUUGAGAUUCUCUUGCUUCUUCCCUUCCCUGCCGUUCUGAGGCAAGAAGAAAUGUGUGAGGUGUGGGGCCAGUAAUUCUGGUGUGAGACAGGGUCUAAAGCAAACAAGGACAACCCACACCAGUGACAAAGCCCUUCUGCAAGACCAGAUUCAAGCUCCUGUUGUCUUGCCUUCUUGACCAGAUAUAUCCCAAAACCUUGCUGUCUUAAGGUGGUGAAAGCACAAAACCCCAAAGUGUUCAUUAGCUUCUGGAUGAGACUUCUGAAUGAAGUCAAGUAUGACAUUGCUGAUAUAGGAAGGGAAGCCUGUAUUGCACGUUAACUGUUUGAGAACACUCAACUUCGGUAGUUUCAGCUGAAGGUUAGCCUUACGGAAUCAUGUGCCUAGGAUUGUUUUUCUUCUCUAGAUUAGUCUAAAGAAGACCUUCAAAACACUUACAGGACUUUUCCUAUGGAAAAUAACUUGAAAGUGAGACGCAAGCAAGGUCCUUUGGUGCAGACAUCGAAAAUCUAUGAACUGUCACUAUUCUGUAUUUUUUAUUUUAGAAAAAGUAGGACUAAUACUCUUAAUAUGAUAUGACAUAUUUCCUUAGGAUUUUUUUCUUUAAACUAUUGGUGCUCUGCUAACGUCCAUCGAGACAGUCUCAACAGUGGCCAGUUAUUUAAUAAAUAUUUAAAAAGGGGAGUGAAUUUAGCCUCAGUUAAUCUACCAUAAGUUAAUUUUACUGACUGAUAGUUGACUUAUCUGGCUUGUUAAGCAAAUUCUAAGUGUGCAGUUUUCUUUUGGCCGUAUAAAAUUUGCCUCUAGACAUUGCAAUAAACAUGACAGUUCCUGACACACAGACAGUGAGAGCUACCUAAUAGUUCCGUCCAACAGUCAAGUCUAAAACUAUGCUGACCGUAGCUUGCAGAGUUGCCAAGCACAAGCCUUGGGAUAACUGUCCACAUGACGUUUCUAUUUUGAAUUCAACAAUCUUUGCCAAUUCUAGGCUUUUAUGUCCACUAGAGGUCAGUGCUUGCUCACGCUGCACUUCCAUCCCUUGCUGCACUGUCCUCACCGAUUUUCAAACCACGCAUUUUGCAAAGCACUGUACGGCAUACACUGCUACUUUUGGCUAUAUAACCACCUGCCAAGUUAUUCUGGUAUCUCUGCUUGAAGAGUGAUCUAUUUUUCAUUUUGUCGAGCUGUGAUUCAGAGCUGACCAAAUUAGUACUUUCCUUGUCCUCUGGGCAAACAGACUUAUUAAAAACUUUCUUUUACCUGUGAAUGGUAUUUCUCAGAGAAGAGCCUGGUUCUGAGUGCAUUACCCUCUGACUGUAACCAUCUACCAAAAAACCACUUCUCCCAACUCUCUGACUUCUUUAGAAAUAUGAUUUUUCUUCUGCUGUAGCACUGCAGCCCUUGACAAUCCAUUUUCGCUUACAUAUAAAAAACCGUGCCGUUGCUUUCAUCAUUCUCGUUUUCUUUUGUAACUUCACUGUGGGAUGUUUGCAGCUGGGUUCAAACUGGUGCUUCAGGGUCCAACAGGGGCAACACUCACACUCCUCAACUUCACGCUGCCAAGCGUGUUACUGCACAGUAGCUAAUAGUGUGUAUGGUAAUUACCUAGACUGUAAACCUGUCAAGACAGGAAGCUGCCUUUUGUACAUGGAUUACUGAGGUGGAGAACUCCAUGGCCAAUAAGAAAAUAAUAAUAAUUUCAGUUCCCAAAUAGGUUAGGUUCUGUAUCAUACAAAAUUUUAUUCAAAAAUCAUUGCUACAAAGGCAUUUUAAUUGUGGCACUAAAAAAAAUAAAGUUUAGAGGAAGGGCAUGAUAAAAAGGAGACAAGGCUAUUUCACAUCUCUAUUUACUUUUAAUUCCUGUUGCUCACUAAAGGAGCCAAGCAGAUCAGCCCUGAUUCACCACCUCUAGGGAAGCUCUUAAAAUGCUUCAUAAAUAGUUCAGCUGUACCUACCCAAGGAUCAGAUCCCAUUUAUUAAUCUUGCCCAUGAAUUCAUAAGCUGCAUUUGCCCUAUUACUGUUAUUAAAUAACAUUAAUUAUGAUUGUGGCAUGCCCUGAGGCGAGCACAAGACAUGAUCACACUGAACAUUGUUUUUGAUAGCUAUUACUGUGCAAUUAGCAUUUAUUGCUACUGUAAAUUCUGAAUAUGGGCCUCUUCAUUUACAUUUAUAUAUUUGAAUGGAGCGUACCAAAACGCGCCUGAGAAAGGCUUUAUUCGCUAUUCCAGUAACACAGGGCAGUUCCAAAACAGACUUCUUGUUCCAGUGCCUGGGGAAGCAGUGUGCAACUUCAGAGGCAUAGAUCAAAGCCUGAGAUAAUUAGUGAAACAUUUAUCCAAACUGUGGCAUUUAUUGCCACAGGUAUGGCAAAGGUGAAAAAUAUUAAGGAGGUUAGAUGAAAAAUGGCUUUCAUAAAUUUUUAGAGGUUAGUGACUGCUAGUCUCUUUCUACUGACAACCUGGCUGGAUGGGGCAUAGGCAGUUGCUUGGUCUGAGUUCCGCAUUUGAUGGCUGUGUUUGUGAGUGGCAGCAAAAUCAGAAGCCAUGGGCCUGGGCCUUCAGGAAAACCUUUGGGCACUCACAGAAAAAAAAAAAAAAAAAAAUCAUUCCUCCCAAAUUACAAAUUUCUCCCAAAUUACAAAUUAUAUAUAGAUCAUUCCUCCCAAAUUACAAGCAUUCAAUUACAAACAUUCAAUUACAGGAAAGCGUCUCCUUUCCGCAGCAGUAGCAUAGUUUACGAAGUGGUCAUCUUUGUGUCCAGUCUUAUUUUCCGCAUGCUUAUCUCUUGUGCACUGCUGUCGUUCUGUCCAGCACCACUCACUAUCACCCUACAAGCCAUGUGAAUCCAGUCACAGGGUGUUGGAGGGAAGAGACACCAUUCUGCGCAGAGCAGAAUGCGUUUGUAUGCAAGUGCCUUUUUUCCUUUUAGCAGCAGUGUUGGAACUUUUUGUCCUCAGCACAGGAUAUUUAUCAGCACCCUCCAACCGCUUCCCAUUUUACAGGUUUCCACAAAAGCUCCCAAUUUCCAGCCUACACGGCAAAGAAUUCAAUAUUCCUGGAUUCCCUCAUUGCUGUGUCCUCGUUUCCACUCCAUGCUCAAUUUGCUGCUGGGUGAUGCAAAGAGGGAGAUGAGCUGCACUCAUUUGUCCCGAGGCUCAGAGUGGGUGUGCGUGUGCGCUCGCCUUGAUAUCAUGUGUGCGAGGCUUUUGUUCUCCGAGUGCCAAAGUCAAAGUCGUCCCUGAGCUCCAGCCUCUUGUGCAACAAUGUAACAGGACAGUGCACUGGUGGGAGCAGUAAAUCCUGUAUGUGACAGAGGAAAUAAUGUAUUGACCUGCUGAGGGAUUUGCAUACCUUCAAAGACUGGCAGCAAGCUCUGCCUGUAAGUCUGACCUGUUCUACUUUCCAUUUCUAGCAGACACUAUCCAGUGUUUCCAGGUGAAUGAUUCAGAUAGAAAUGUACGCAGAUUUAAAAACUGUCCUAAUCGGGUAUAUUCUUACAUCCAGGCUGUUACUAAUUGUUAUCCAGUGUCACACCGUUUACAAGACUAAGAGAUUUUGCUGCUCUGCUUGCUUGAAAUAUACAGUGCCUGUGGCUGUGCUGCUCAAAAGCAUGAUUAUGUAUUUCCCAAAGGCAUGCAGAGAAAUAGGAUGCUAGCUUUUUAAAGUGAUCCCUCUGAUCUUUCAUUAGUAAGUGUUUAAUUUACAGUAGCAUCUCAAGUUACAAAUAGUUGGCUGGCUCGCUCUGUCUGCGAGCUCUUGGGGGUCAAAGGAGGCCCACAGAAGAAUUUUGGGAGCACGGUCCCCAGAGGAGAGCAGGGCUGAGGUCUCUCUCUUCCCUUUCUGCGAAUGUGACAUCGUGUCUCCAGGGCAACCUGCAUUCUGACAGUCAUGGGAGCAAGGGCGUGGCAUGGAUUUCCAUUUGAUUCCUGCAAUGGAAAAGAGAUCUGGGACAAAAAUCAAUAUGUGACUAAACUAUAAGAGUUCAUUUUCACAAUUAAUUUUCUCUAAAGGAUUAUUUCCUCUCUUCUUGUGCAAAUAUAAUUCACAACUACUCCUCUAUUUGUUUUUCUGGUGUUGCCUCUUCUACACGUAAUGAAGGCCUAAACAUUUGAAAUAAAUAAGUCGCAACAUAAAAAUGCAGGGUGUACCUCCAAUAAAACUGAACAAGCAUUUUAUAAGGAGGCUGAAAGCAAUGUUUGCAUUUCAAGAUGUAUGACUUCACUUUUUCUCAUGUGAUGCAAUACUUUGGGCAGCAAUUCAUAGUUGUGAUCAGUUGUUUCAGUUCAAAGUGAUUUUAUCAAUGAUGACUGUAGAAAGCCCUGCCUAUCUGAAAUAAAUAUCUUAGCAUUUCUCUUUGAGGCACUGAGCUCUAUCCUAAAGGAAUAUUCAAGCAUACCUUGCAUACAUUUCUGUUCCUCUUUGGUUUUAUUUGUUUGAAAGCUGUAAGCUUGAUCUUCUUGCACAAGAAUGAAUCACAAAAAACUCAGUUGUAAAAACAACGUUGUGACAGGUGGCUCCAACCCUUUUGGUUGGUUUUAAUAGGUGCUUUUAGUAAGUGCUUUGUAAAAUUAGUAUUAAAUAAAACAGGGUUAUGCAGACAAUUUUAUUUUGACUCGCUGC